AUUAACCCGUGUUGUCUGGCUUGGUUUGAACUGACAAAAGGUGGGUUGAACAUGGGUCAGAUAACCCUGGUUCGACCCUGGUCAUUGGUGUGAAAGAGGUAUUAGAUACAAGUGUGUAUGUUUAUUUCUAUUAUAACAAUACACUUUACAU